rnacentral:lncRNA from 1 species
GCGUGAGGACUUCGGCGCGCGCCGGAAGCACGUGCGCGGGCUGGGCGCUCUGGCGGUGUGCGCUGAGGCUCCUGAGUAUAACAGAUUGGUUCUGAUUAAAACCAUUUCAGAGGAAAGACAGUGAUCCCAGGAAGCGGGAAGAAAACAGCAUCACCUGAAGUUAUUCCUAUUCGUUAGAUUUGUUUUCUUCCUGCGAAAAACUGCUAUGUACAAGAAAGAAGUCAGUGAGCUGCAGUGAUAGUUAGCAUUAUUGACUGAAACUGGACCAGAGAUCCCUGAAACCUGGACAAGGUGGUAGAAAUACAAAUUAUGCUGCCAUUUCAAAGCUGUGGGCAGUUUUCUACUUUGUGGAAAAUGAAGACUUAGGUAGGCCUUUGGGAAAGACGAUUUGUUUUGGAAAAACCACCCAAAGGGAUCAUUUGGUUUGCAAAUGUAACUGCAGUAUCACAACUGGAAGAAGAAAUAUACAAGGGCGAGGUUUGAAGGAGCCCUUCAGUAUCCUUGGAUGAUACUGUGGAAGAUUCUUUGCAUCUCAGUAACUUUGGAUCUUUGAAGAUCCAAGAAAAUAAAUUUCUUCAAAAUAUUUUUAGAGACUGCUUUGAUUCUGAGGCACUGCUGAUUAUAUGGAAGAAAAAAAUAUUGGAAGAUUAAUUUGUGGUUUUCUCCAGUUAUCGUCUCCCUUCUCUUUGGGGGAGGUUUGUGACGCAGUAAAAACAGAUAUACAAAAGCCUAGGCAUGUUAGAGAUUUGCCUAAGGGAAAUGUAAUUAUGAAGAAGGAUUUUUUCAAGCUGAAACUAGAUCCCACUUUUUUCCAGGUCAGUGGGUCCUUCAAGUAUCUGGUACUUUCCUUCCUGCUUCCUGACAAUGUUAAAGAAUGUGGCAUGACCUUACAUUUAAUGCCCAACGUGAGGAGCCCUGGGGCUUGAUGCAUGAGAUUCUUGGAGCUAGGCCUGGUGGAGGGCACUGGUCACAGCCUCGGUGGAAUGGUGACUUUCUUUGGUAACUGGAAUUGAAGAAAAUGAGUGGACUUGUGUCUGAGCACUUGGGAACUCAGCAAUCCCUGGGUGUUACCUUGAGAAGGAGCCAAAUUCCAGACAUACAAGUGGAGACUUGAAAAUGGAAGCUCAAUUCCACACCCAGGCUGGUGGAGACUAUGACAUAUAACUCACAUCUUCAAGAAAGUAGACACCUCAGAGGUCACUGGGCCACUUUACCUUCCACUGUCAAAACUAUGUCCAUGAUCAGAUACCUCUGUUGCUAGGGAAUAUUCAGUCAGAAUGGGCUAGAUUAACUGCAGUAAUGCAGAUCUCUCAACCCAUUUAUGACUUACGCAGCAAAGUUCCUCGCUCAGACUACCUGUCCACUCCCACGAGCAGAGACUUGCUCAUGGGCCCUCCUAGACCCAGGCUGACCGAGUGUGUUUUAUCUAAAUGCAUCUCCACAAUCACUCAGGUAGGAGUGGCUAUGCAUUAGGACUGAUUGUGCAUUAGUUAGAGAAGCACUUACCAGGAAUUGCUAUAAGAACUUCUAUUUACAUUUCAUGGGCCAAAGCAAGUCAUGUGGCAACACUUAAUUUCAAAGAGGACAGGAAAUGCAAUAUUGUUAUGUCCCUGAAAGAAAGGAGAAGAGAAAGUCUAUGGAAAGACAUUAUGACUACCACUGGAAUUUUCACCUGUCCAGGCAGCUCAUCGUGCUUUUAUUUGAAACAAUUUUAUUGAAGUAUAGGCAUAACUGCACAUACGUAUGUAUUUAUUUUAUUUUAUUUUUUGAGAUGUAGUCUUGCUUUGUUGCACAGGCUGGAAUGCAGUGGCGUGAUCUCAGCUCACUAUGACCUCUGCCUCCCGGGUUCAAGUGAUUCUCCUGCCUCAGACUUCUGAGUAGCUGGGAUUACAGCCACGCGCCACCACACCUGGCUAAUUUUUGUAUUUUUAGUAGUUGGAUGGGAGAC